rnacentral:rRNA from 1 species
GGCAUGCAAGUCGAACGAGGAUAUAUCCUUAGGGAUAUAAGCCGAGUGGCACAAGGGUGAGUAAUGCAUAGAUUACCUACCUUUAGGAUAAGGGCAGCUUUGUGAAAACGGAGCUAAUACUUAAUAAUACAAAAGAAAAUAAUUUUCUUUUGUCAAAGGGAGGGUAGCAAUACCUUUCGCCUAGAGAGGGGUUUAUGUCCUAUCAGCUUGUUGGUGGGGUAAUAGCCUACCAAGGCGAAGACGGGUAGCCGGUUUAAGAGGAUGGUCGGCCACACUAGGACUGAGACACUGCCCAGACUUCUACGGAAGGCUGCAGUCGAGAAUCUUUCGCAAUGCCCGAAAGGGUGACGAAGCGACGCCGCGUGGGUGAGGAAGGCCUUCGGGUUGUAAAGCCCUGUCAGGAGUUAUGAAAUGUAAGUGCGCUAAUAUCAUGCUUAUUUGACAAAGGCUCCAAAGGAAGCCACGGCUAACUCUGUGCCAGCAGCCGCGGUAAUACAGAGGUGGCGAGCGUUGUUCGGAAUUAUUGGGCGUAAAGAGCACGUAGGUGGGUUUGCAAGUCAGAUGUGAAAGCCUUCUGUUCAACGGAAGAAUUGCAUCUGAAGCUGCUAAUCUUGAGUAUAGGAGGGGAGAAUGGAACUUCUGGUGGAGCGGUGAAAUGCGUAGAUAUCAGAAGGAACGCCGGCGGCGAAAGCGAUUCUCUGGCCUAUUACUGACACUCAGUGUGCGAAAGCUAGGGGAGCAAACGGGAUUAGAUACCCCGGUAGUCCUAGCCGUAAACGAUGGGCACUAAGUAGAGGGGUUUU